GAUGAACGCUAGCUCCAGGCUUAACACAUGCAAGUCGAGGGGAAACGAUGAGAGAGCUUGCUCUCUUAGGCGUCGACCGGCGCACGGGUGAGUAACGCGUAUCCAACCUACCCAUUACAGGGGGAUAACCUUGCGAAAGUAAGACUAAUACCCCAUGGCAUUUUAUGGUGGCAUCAUUAUAGGAUUAAAGAUUUAUUGGUAAUGGAUGGGGAUGCGUCUGAUUAGCUUGUUGGCGGGGUAACGGCCCACCAAGGCAACGAUCAGUAGGGGUUCUGAGAGGAAGGUCCCCCACAUUGGAACUGAGACACGGUCCAAACUCCUACGGGAGGCAGCAGUGAGGAAUAUUGGUCAAUGGGCGAGAGCUUGAACCAGCCAAGUAGCGUGCAGGAUGACGGCCCUAUGGGUUGUAAACUGCUUUUAUAGGGGAAUAAAGUGAGCUACGUGUAGUUUAUUGCAUGUACCCUAUGAAUAAGGACCGGCUAAUUCCGUG
rnacentral:rRNA from 1 species